GGCGAACGGGUGAGUAAUACGUCGGAACGUGCCCAGUCGUGGGGGAUAACGUAGCGAAAGUUACGCUAAUACCGCAUACGAUCUAAGGAUGAAAGCGGGGGACCGUAAGGCCUCGCGCGGUUGGAGCGGCCGAUGUCAGAUUAGGUAGUUGGUGGGGUAAAGGCCUACCAAGCCGACGAUCUGUAGCUGGUCUGAGAGGACGACCAGCCACACUGGGACUGAGACACGGCCCAGACUCCUACGGGAGGCAGCAGUGGGGAAUUUUGGACAAUGGGCGCAAGCCUGAUCCAGCCAUUCCGCGUGCAGGACGAAGGCCUUCGGGUUGUAAACUGCUUUUGUACGGAACGAAAAAGCCUUGGCUAAUACCCAGGGUCCAUGACGGUACCGUAAGAAUAAGCACCGGCUAACUACGUGCCAGCAGCCGCGGUAAUACGUAGGGUGCAAGCGUUAAUCGGAAUUACUGGGCGUAAAGCGUGCGCAGGCGGUUUUGUAAGUCAGACGUGAAAGCCCCGGGCUUAACCUGGGAAUUGCGUUUGAAACUGCAAGGCUAGAGUACGGCAGAGGGGGGUAGAAUUCCACGUGUAGCAGUGAAAUGCGUAGAUAUGUGGAGGAAUACCGAUGGCGAAGGCAGCCCCCUGGGCUAGUACUGACGCUCAUGCACGAAAGCGUGGGGAGCAAACAGGAUU
rnacentral:rRNA from 1 species